rnacentral:snoRNA from 1 species
AUCCCAUGGUGAGGACAUUUUCGAAGCAUAUCCUUGAAACGCUCCCAUACUUUGUAUAGUGAUUUACCUUCUUCUUGGGUAAAAACGGUUAUGUCAUUUCUUAAUUU